GGUCCCAUUGCGAAGUGGCCCGCGCCUGCAUUUCAUAGAAGAAGAUCCUACGAUACAAUGCAGGAGACGCCCGUUCGAUUCGGGCUUGGACCG